ACUUAGCUUUUACUUUCUUUCUUUUUUUUUUUUUUUUGCCGACAUUCCUGGAAACAAUUACCAUUCAGAACGUGAGACAGAAUCCAGCACCACCCUCCAACCAGUGGCAGCAGAUCCCACUGGCUGGAAGGGGCCCUCCAAAGCAGGGCAGGAGCCUUUGAAAUGUCACUCUUGCAAACCCAACCUCUAUAUGGCAACACAGAUCAUAAGCACAGAAAGGAACUGUGUUACAACUGGUGUUAUGUUUGAUGGGGAGUUGCAGGAGUUAAUCAAGGAAGAAUAAAACCUAGGGAAAAAUAUUGUACAAGAAUUAUUGAUGGGUUUGUAUUUAAAAUCAUCGUUUUCAUUAGACUUUUUUUUUUUACCCCUUUCAGUGGUCAUGCUGGCAUCGAGGCCCUGAGUGGGUGCUCAUAGCCAGGGCCUAUUGAACAUCACUGAAGGGGGAGACUCCAGGGACCUGCAAGAGGGCAGGAUGACCAGGUAGACGAGGACACCAUAGUCCUGAUUUUGAGUCUUUGCUUUGUUUUUUAUUAGCUGUGUGACCUUCAACCAGUGCCUUACACACUGGGACUGUGGCAGAGACAGCUUGUUCAUCCUCAAAUCAUUUCCUUUUCCACUGGGCACAGGGGAGAAGCCAGGAGCCGCCCCAGGACUGACUCUGGCCAAUGGGAUGUCCAUGGGAGGCACGUCUGCUGCACCCAGACCUGGCCAUUGACAUGUCCACGUGCUCCUUGACUCUGGCUCUUCCCCUACCUGCUAGAGAAGGUGCUGAUGGCUAGAGAAGGGCAGAGCCACAGACGGAAGGGGCCUGGGGCCUGAAACCCCACGUGAAAAGCCACAGUGCUGGAAGUGGUGUGUGGGUGUGCCUGUGUGUUAGCAGGGAAUACACUUCUAUUGUGCUGAGCCCCUGAUAAUGUGGGGUUUAUCUAUUACCGCAUCUAGAGUUAGCUUCACUGAUACAGGCACAUUUUCCUUGUCUGUAUCAUACAGGUAAAAAUUGAUCCUUAUCUUAGGUGUCAUAAAGGUGAAAAGAAAUAAUGUAUAGGAAAUGAUUUUAGAAAUUCUGUAAGUCCUCGCUGGGCACGGUGGUUCACGCCUGUAAUCCCAGCACUUUGGGAGGUCGAGGCGGGCAGAUCACAAGGUCAGGAGAUCAAGACCAUCCUGGCUAACAUGGUGAAACCCCGUCUCUACUAAAAAUACAAAAAAUUAGCCGGGCGUGGUGGCGGGCGCCUGUAGCCCCAGCUACUCAGGAGGCUGAGGCAGGAGAAUGGCGUGAACCCGGGAGGCAGAGCUUGCAGUGAACUGAGAUCGCGCCACUGCAUUCCAGCCUGGGCGACAAAGUGAGACUCCGUCUCAAAAAAAAAAAAAAGAAAUUCUACAAGUCCUCAUCACCAAUCUGGUUAAUCAACACGGUUGCACCUGCUGGCAGCCCACUAGAUCCAUGGUAUCCUUGCUCCUAGUCAACGCUAGGUGAGGCUCCCCAGCCAGAAGGAGGCCUGAAUCCACAAGCCAUUCCUGAAGCCCCAUGAUGGACCCUGUUCAUGUCCAAGCAGACACCAUUCCUCCCACUUUUGCUUCUCUGCAUGGGAUGCUGCAGUGCAGGAGGUCAAUUAACUCUUCCAGCUCAUCCCUGGUGGCACAUUUGGUGUUCUGUUACAUUUCUUCUAUUUUGCUACCUGGAAUUUCCCUCCCAAAUGAUUCCUUUUUUUCUGAUAACAAAGGAUUACAUGCCUAUUGUGGAAAUUUUGAAAAGAAAAUUUUAUUGUGAAAGAGUAAAAAAUGCACCCACUAAAGGUGAUCAUUAACAGUAUUAUGGCAUAUUUCUUCCUGUAUUUCUUUCUUCUUUCUUUCUUUUUUAAAAUAUCUCACCUCUGGCUGAAUCCUCAUAUUCCUUUUUUCUUUUUUUGGUGGAGGUUGUUGAAAAUUCUUAUAUUUCUUAAGGUAAGUAUAUAUAUAUUUUUUACCAUAGUCGAGAACACCAUACACAUAUAAUUUGGUAUCUUGCAUUUUAUGUUCUGCUUGUCACGAUCAUAGCAUUUCCCAUAUCACUAAAACCUCUUACAGUCAUGACUUUUCUUAGAGUUCUAUACUAUUCCAUUGUAAGGAUGUACCAUGAUUUUCCCUAUUGUUAGUUAGGUUGUUUCUAGUUUUUCAGUCUUAUAAGGAGUGCUGCAGUGAACAUGUUUGUAAACUGUGGAUUGCUUCCUUUGCAAUUUGAAUUCUUUAAGGCCAUUCAUGUUUUGGAUCUGGGUAACAUGUAGAAACCUAUUACAUUUCUUAGAUACAAUCUGGUUUCCAGAAUAUAGCAGCAUGGGAAGGUCAAAUGUGGGCUACAAGGAGCCCCAGGUUCGAUAGCGGAGAUUCUUGAAGCCCGGACGGAAGUGUUCUUUGCACUAGCUCUAGGUACAGGUGUCUGAACUGCCUGAGCAUAAGAAACGUGAUGGUUCAUUUUAGGUGUCGACUUGCCUAGAUUAUGGGGUACUCAGCUGGCAAAGCAUUA
rnacentral:lncRNA from 1 species